rnacentral:rRNA from 1 species
AGGACGAACGCUGGCGGCGUGCCUCAUACAUGCAAGUGGAGCGACGAACCAGGGUUUACCCUGGGGCAAAGCCGCGAACGGGUGAGUAACACGUGAGUAACCUGCCCCAGACUCUGGGAUAACUCCGGGAAACCGGUGCUAAUACUGGAUAUGACAUCAAGCCGCAUGGUUAUGGUGUGGAAAGUUUUUCGGUCUGGGAUGGGCUCGCGGCCUAUCAGCUUGUUGGUGAGGUAGUGGCUCACCAAGGCGACGACGGGUA